ACCGUGGACAACGUUCCGGCCAAAACGAACAGCUUUGAACUGUGAAGUGUUAAGUGAAACUCUAUAAACCAAUAUAUUGCGGUUGAAUAGCUCGAGAACAGACGGAGGAGAAUCAUUGCUAAUAAAUGUUCAUCCAUGGAGGAUCCAACAGGAAGAAAGGGAGCUCCCCCCCCCUUCUCCUAUCACAGUCGUCUCGAAUUUUUAGAGAGAGAUUUUUGACGAAAGAAGUUUGUUGGAUGAGAAAGGACUUAUGGUAGCCGAAAAUCAGGAAAACAGCCUGAGAAACAAGCAGAAACUUGCAGAGAGUACUCGAGCUCAACAAAUGGCCAUGAAAAAUCUGCUACUUUGGAUGCCGAUCUUAACCUCUCACAUGCACUUUGAUGUUCACUGACAAGCUUUGAACACUGUCCCUUUAUCACCUGCAAUUGUUGAUGGAGUCAAAUUCAUGAAGUUGAUACUGAAAUGUUGUAUUGGAGCUUAUAUUCCAUGCGCAUUCAAGGCAAGUUCACUUCUGAAGUAAAAUGUAUUGUUCUACCACUGAGUUCAUUACAUAACACUUUCUAUCUGUAGGCUGGAAGAAACAGGAAUCGUAAAAUGGCAAAUACAAAGGACCUGGUAGUGGGAGUUAUAUCUCCUAUGUCAAAUAUAUCUGAAAUUUGUGUCUUAAUCUGAAUGGUCCAAGCAUUGUUUUGGAAAUUAGGCCAGAACAGACAGGGGGAACAAUCUGGAUUAACAACGUACCCAUCUCCAAAUGGUUGAGGUUAACCAAAACUGUUUGUCUGUCUUGAUCAACCUUCUCAUUUGUUCUAUAUAAACAUGUGUUUUCUAAUAUUUUGAGUUUGUGACAAUUUAAUGAUGCUUUUGUUUAUUUAUGCGACUCUAUUUACACUCUUGCACAGUUCAAACAAAA